ACAGGUAUUGUGUAAUGAAGAGCAAAAUUUUAUCAACGUAUGUAUCAACACAUACAUGCAACUGUCUUUUCUAUGCACAGACACCUGCCUGCCCCUCCUCCUCUUCCCCAUACACCCCAGUUGGACCUUCUGCAAAGACCUGUUAUGCUUUGCACGUCUCCAAACAUUUCUAAAAAUGGGUUCCUGAAGCUAAAAGGAGAGAAAGAAGUAGAUGAAGGAUAAAGUCAGACUAUCAGAUCUCACUGUCACACUUCAAUUACAAUAGGAAAGCCUUUAUUUAAUCACUUCUCUCCUUCACAUGUUGUUUUUAAGCAAAAUAGACAGGUAUCACCCAAAAAGCCAAAUAUAUUUCUCAAAGCUCUUCAGUGAGACUGAAAGGUGGUUUGACCUCAAAUCCUGAGCCAUUCUCAAAUAAAAAAGAUACAGAAGUUCCUUAGAGCAUAACCAAUUCCCUCUCCAACACCGGGCAGCUUGACAGUGCCUCCUACAUUAAGGGUAACAUACAGAAGGAGCAUUUUCCUAACAGGUUGUAUCUGUUUUUCUUCGGUGACUUUUAGGGAUCAUACAGGAUAAUUACAAAAACACAGAAAACCCCACCUCUCGAGCAUGCUCUAAUAUUGCUUUCCUGCCACAGCAGAAUUCUCCCUUUUAAAUGUGAAAUCAUUCCUAAUAGGCUGGCCAAGUUCACAGGCAAACACGUUUCUCAGUGCAGAUAUGAAACUGAGAAGUCACUACAGAAAUUUCUCCCAAUAUCCAACCUAAACCUUCCUUGGCGCAACUUGAGGCCAUUUCCCCUCGUCUUAUCACUUGGUGCUUGGGAGAAAAGUCCAGUCCCCACUUCAGUAUAGCCUUCUUUAAGGUAAUUGUAGAGUGCGAUAAAGACUCUCCUGAGACUCCUUUUCCCUAGGCUGAACAACCCCAGUUAUUUAGAUAUUUGCUAGAUAUUAAGGCAACCAUUUCACAGAUGAAUUAAACACACCCCCUGUAACAGGUGAGCCCUGGGGAAGUGAUGGCUGUUGCAGUACUGUGGUAAAAAGUCAAAUGUUGAGUGGUAACUUGGAUAGCAGUUCCACAGGGAUAGUUUUACACUACCAAAAUGACUAGCUUAGUCUGGACAUCAGAGGGAAUUGGACAAGCCAUUUUCAAAGGCUCUCUCUUUCUCCUCCCAUUAAGACUUCUACUUUCUCAUUAAAUAUGCAACCAAUUCUGUGAACAGGAGAUGACUAAGUAGUUCUUCUCCUUACCAUAAGGGAAGUGGGAAUUAAAAUGGUACAUUCCAUGUUAUGUAGUUUUUCUUGCUUUUACACACUGUACUUUCUUUAAAAAAAUAAAGAAUACCAAACUUGCAAGUACUGUCUUAUCUAUAACAGAAAUACCUUCAUCCAACUAAAUUACAAACUGUUAACACUACCUGUUGAUUAAAAGUAAGCAAGUGAGAGAAAGGCUGAGGUCCCAGAAUGGUAGCACCUCAAGUUCAAAGCACUGUGGAGGCCAUUUAAACAAACCAACCGACCAAGAACCAACAAAGGGGUUUUCUUUAGGCAACUUAAAACGAAAAGAAGAUUAAUAGAACUUUUAAUUCUCAUAAACCAAGCUAGGGCCCAGUCUCAUCCUCCCAGGUGUUCCCAAAGAACAAUAUGGGCAUUGUAUCACAUAAUAACCAAGAUAAUUAUUAAGUGCCAAGUCUUCUCAGCAUCCAGCUUUACGUUUGCAGUUUCAUCAUUUAUAAAAGUCCAUAAUUUUCAAGAACUCUUGAACUUCAUCAGUAUCAUCAAAAUGAGUACAUUUUUUUCCACAAUAAGGAUGCUCUGGUUUAAAAACAAUUUUCUAACACGCUAGAUGUCUACUCAUGCAACAAGUCUCUAAAUGGCACUUUCUGAGAAGACAGCAUCUCCAUGAUACAACAGUUUUACUGUAUUUUCUCUUGGUGCUGUGGCUGUGUUACAUUAGAAAAGAGAGCUCUCCAUGGAUGUCACUCCCAAGUAACAGUUUUCAGAUUAAAACUGGAGAAACUAACUUAUGCCAACAACAGAGCAGCACUGAAAACUGGGACACGUACAAGGUGAUGUGUGGGCAAGUGCUAUCAUUCAAACUCUUGUAGGAAUGAUUUUAAAAUAGGAUUUGCUGCUCUGGUAACCCAAUGAAAAUCUUACAAGCAUGAUCUAGUUUUAGAGUUAUUUAGUUUCUGUUUCACCUUUCCCUUUAGGCAGAAUUCUCUAAGCUUUAUUGACAAUUGGGAUAUUCUCUCUGGUAUUGAAAGCAUUAUUUCACAUAACAACGAUUUUGGGAAGAGAGCAUCGUUUGACAGUCAGCCCUGGGAAAGAAUUAACAUGGUGAUGGUUA